GUCCUUGUCGAUUAGUGGUUAAAUCAUCACGUUGUGGCCGUGAAGCCGGAAGUUCGAAUCCUCCCUGGGACA
rnacentral:tRNA from 2 species